ACUAGAGUUUUCAUCUCACUGAAAAUUCAAUAUCAAAAUUAAAAACAGCUGAGGUAGUUACUCGGGUGCCUUCCUUCAGCUUAUUCAAAAGAAUAUAGGAUGAACGGUAAGAAUUAAGUAAACCACAAAUUAUUUUGGAGUGUCUGGUUUGUAUUAUAAAUAAAUUUUUCACUGCUGGUUGUUUUUUCAAAAAUAUUGACUGUAUUUUUGAUAUUCAUUCCUGUGAUCUAAUGUAAACUAUGUCCUACCAAUUUAAUGUAUUGUUUGUUCAUGAUUACAUUUUUUAUUACACUCAUAUGCUAUAAAUAUUUCUCACUCUGCUCUUUUGGAUCUUUCCCAAAUAGCCAUAGUGUUUAAGACAUGUCAUGGAAAAUGUUAUUAAGAGAACUAUCCCCCUUUCAUGUUGGCACGUACUAAUUUCACACCUUGAAUAGAGUCUAACCAUAUCAACACUGAAAUAUCUAUUUUUCAAGAAACUGAACUGAAGAGCAUUUAUUAAGGGGCAACAACAAAAAAGUCACAACUGAGUGUCACUCUGGUAUCAAAAUUUUCUUUCUUAUCGAUCUGAACUAGAAUUUUAAAAUACUUGUUGGUAAAUUUACAUUAGUUUAUAUUUUGAUGAAAUCAAAGUUGGUUAGUUUUUGGUUUUGAAGUAUAGAAUGCUUGUGGACCUUGCCUUAUAUUUUUGAAAUUGGUGAAGUAAUACAAUAUUUAUACAUUUCAUUCUUAAUUACAAAGGUAAUAUUACCAACACAAUGCACUGUGUAAAAUAGGAAAGAAAGAUUACCAGUCACUGUCUACGGGCCACAUAUUUUAAAAGUGUGUUUAAUCUCAGAACAAUGUUCUAUUUUAUUCUCAUUACCUACAAAGGAGCACAGUGUUUCCUUUCCACAAAGUGGGAAGAAUGGGGAGAAAAUACACCAAAGUUUUUAAAGCUAGGAACUGAUGGAGAGGACGAUCCUCUUUCGGUGGAACAUCAACAAUAGAGGGGACAGUAUGAUGCUGACUCUGCUCAAAGAAAGCCAUGCGUACUAUCUGCACAAGGGCCACCAUGUUGCUGGACAUAGAAACAUAUGGAACCAGGCAGAGCAGCAAAGGACAGUGAACCUCUCCACACUGCUGACUAGUGACCACUUACCCACAAAGAUCCUCCCUCUUCACAGAGGCGUUACAUCUUCAAACAGGGGACAUGAUACACAGUAAAAAGACUCAGGGUUUACUGAAGGAGUUUAUCUUCCACUGCUUAAACUUCUGUAUGGAUAUUGAUGGCAUACACAUUCAGAAAGGGAAAGAAGAAAAUCAACUUGCUGGAAAACCAAUUUGUCGAAUGAACAACUUACUGAAAAUCAAAUUCUUUCCAUUAAUUUUAUCUUGUACUAUCAGUAACCAUGAUGCAUGAGAUGGUUGCAACACUCCUAAGGAUUUCUUUUUUCUUUCAAAACUUUCAUUUGGCUUUAGUUUUUCUGCAGCUACAGUGGUGAGCCAAACCAGAAUAUCACAGACUUCAUUACAUACCAACUUUAGAAAAUAAAAAUAUUCUGGUAUAUUUCA
ensembl:lncRNA